UUAAGUUCAGCGGGUAGUCCUACCUGAUUUGAGGUCAAGAUUGUCAAGUAUUGUCUAGCAAGUAGACCGUUAGACAGCAGCAUAACCUCUUUAUAUGCGUGGCACUGACUAAUGGCGUAGAUAGUUAUCACACCAAUAGCUGUAAAACCACAGAGGUACCGCUAAUGCAUUUCAGAGGAGCUGACUCGAAAGCCUGCAUA
rnacentral:misc_RNA from 1 species